rnacentral:lncRNA from 7 species
UCUUGUUCUGGGGGUUCCUUCUCUGUGGAGUCUUUUCUCUGAACCUAGAUUUUUUUUUUUGGAUGUGAGUGAGUAUUCCUUCCCUGUUUGUUUCUUUUUCUAUUUUCACCACAAUAAUCUUUCCAGCUGUAGCACCAACUGUAACAGCUUCCAAUUAUCCUAUUGGACUACUGUGCUACACAAAAUCAUCAAGAGAAGGAUGUUACGAGGGACCAUGUCGAAGGCCUUACUGAAGCCCAGAUGGAUGACAUCAGUGACUCCUCCCUUGUUUACUGAUGACAUUGAUGAUGACAUUGGAAAAAGCAGAAUGAUUGGUCAUGCAUGGUAUUUUUUCAAUAAUAAUUUCAGUGAACUUCAGAAGAAAUGAAUUUUUGAAUUCUUUUCUGAAGUGCAGUCAUGCUGUAUCAUGAUCACUUAAAAUUUUAUGGAAUUAUAUGAAUAUUUUUCCAUGUAUAGAGAUUUAAUCUUUUCUCUAUUCAGAUACAAACUACCAAAAAAAACCAAAAAACAAACAAAGAAAAAAACCCACCCAUGUCUGUUGCUAAUGUUUUAUUACUAAAACAUGGAAAUAGUAUCUUUGUUAAUAUCUUUGUUAAUAUCUAAGUUAAUAUCCUUGGAAUAAAUAAAUUAAAUUCAGGUAUUGUACACAUAGCAUCUUUUCCACAUUCCGACUUUGAAAGCUGGUUAGUCUUUUCACUAGAAAAAAGAGCACAGGAAUAAGCAUGGAAUCUCAACAAGUCAUCUUUAUCAACCUCCAGCCCAAAAAAGAGCCAGCUCCAAAAUUAAAUCAAUUAUGUAUAAUGACCUUUGAAAAUUCUCCUGGGUAGAUGUUUUUGCAGCCUCUUUUUGCAUCCCCUCUGAUGUUUAACCUCCAUCACUUUGAAGAAUUCUGUUCUACUGGAGUAUCUUCUUUUUUUUUUUUUCCUGGCAAAAUUCAUUUGCUAUUUUUAAUGGAGGUGAAUCACUUGAUCAACAUUAUCUUCUUAAUAUUCCUGAACUUUCUCACAUGGAAAGCUUGUGAAGAAGUUACAAUGAUGUCUGGCAAUGAGUACAAAUGUAGAAAAAGUCUUUUAAAUGUGUAUCUUGCCUGCUGCUCCACACUGACCUGCUAGACGUUUUGAAUAUUUGCUAGGGAUAGUAACUGCAAUUAAUCUCAUUUUAAUUAGAUUUGUUUUUGGAAAGACCUUUCUGACUUUGACAGACUUCCACUCAAAAUUGCAUGAAGUGAAGUUACUCUUAUCAUAAACAACACUUGCAGCACUUUCUGUUCUGCAGCUGCUGAUGCAACUCAGACAUUGUCCUGUAACAACUUUAAGUGAUGUGAAUUCCUUUUGGAGAUGCUGUGUUGUAUGCAGGAGAUGUUGUUCGUUGUUUGUGCAGAAUGAACUUGGAUCACAUUCAUUUUAUUCUUCUCAGUGAGCAGCAGCCAGGGAAAGCAGAGAGAGAAAGGAGAGGCUGCUUGUCUAUUCCUGCUUUU